rnacentral:rRNA from 1 species
AUUGAACGCUGGCGGCAUGCUUUACACAUGCAAGUCGAACGGUAACAGGGAGCUUGCUCCGCUGACGAGUGGCGAACGGGUGAGUAAUGUAUCGGAACGUGCCCAGUCGUGGGGGAUAACUACUCGAAAGAGUGGCUAAUACCGCAUACGACCUGAGGGUGAAAGCGGGGGACCGUAAGGCCUCGCGCGAUUGGAGCGGCCGAUAUCAGAUUAGCUAGUUGGUGGGGUAAAAGCCCACCAAGGCGACGAUCUGUAGCUGGUCUGAGAGGACGACCAGCCACACUGGGACUGAGACACGGCCCAGACUCCUACGGGAGGCAGCAGUGGGGAAUUUUGGACAACGGUCGCAAGUCUGAUUCAGCCAUGCCGCGUGCGGGAAGAAGGCCUUCGGGUUGUAAACCGCUUUUGUCAGGGAAGAAACGAGUUUCUCUAAUACAGAGACUUAAUGACGGUACCUGAAGAAUAAGCACCGGCUAACUACGUGCCAGCCGCCGCAGUAAAAC